GAUGAACGCUAGCUACAGGCCUAACACAUGCAAGUCGAGGGGAAACGACAUCGAAAGCUUGCUUUUGAUGGGCGUCGACCGGCGCACGGGUGAGUAACGCGUAUCCAACCUGCCCACCACUUGGGGAUAACCUUGCGAAAGUAAGACUAAUACCCAAUGAUAUCCCACGAAGGCAUCCGAAUGGGAUUAAAGAUUUAUCGGUGAUGGAUGGGGAUGCGUCUGAUUAGCUUGUUGGCGGGGUAACGGCCCACCAAGGCAACGAUCAGUAGGGGUUCUGAGAGGAAGGUCCCCCCANAUUGGAACUGAGACACGGUUCCAAACUCCUACGGGAGGCAGCAGUGAGGAAUAUUGGUCAAUGGGCGAGAGCCUGAACCAGCCAAGUAGCGUGCAGGACGACGGCCCUAUGGGUUGUAAACUGCUUUUAUAAGGGAAUAAAGUGAGUCUCGUGAGACUUUUUGCAUGUACCUUAUGAAUAAGGACCGGCUAAUUCCGUG
rnacentral:rRNA from 1 species